AUUGAACGCUGGCGGUAUGCUUAACACAUGCAAGUCGAACGGUAACAGGCCUUCGGGCGCUGACGGGUGGCGGACGGGUGAGUAACGCGUAGGAAUCUGCCUCAUAGUGGGGGACAACGUGGGGAAACUCACGCUAAUACCGCAUACGCCCUACGGGGGAAAGCGGGGGAUCUUCGGACCUCGCGCUAUGAGAUGAGCCUGCGUUAGAUUAGCUAGUUGGUAGGGUAAAGGCCUACCAAGGCGACGAUCUAUAGCUGGUCUGAGAGGACGAUCAGCCACACUGGGACUGAGACACGGCCCAGACUCCUACGGGAGGCAGCAGUGGGGAAUAUUGGACAAUGGGCGCAAGCCUGAUCCAGCAAUACCGCGUGUGUGAAGAAGGCCCUAGGGUUGUAAAGCACUUUCAAUGGGGAGGAAAACCUGCCGGUCAAUACCCGGCAGCUUGACAUUACCUAUAGAAGAAGCACCGGCUAACUCCGUGCCAGCCGCCGCAGUAA
rnacentral:rRNA from 1 species